GGGCGAUUAGCAAAGCGGUAGCGCACUUCCUUAACACGGAAGGGGUCACUGGUUCGAAUCCAGUAUCGCCCA
rnacentral:tRNA from 1 species